ACAAAAACGGAAAUCACGGAAAUUGCGCAUUCAAUCACGUCCUUUAGAAAAGCGUACCGCAGGGUCUUUGAGAUGCGGUGCUCGUUUUUAUUCUUCUUUACUUCUUUUUCUUUUAUGAUUAUGGCUUACAUUAAUUCACGAUAAAGAAAGAAAUACACAUACUAAACGAUGUUGCAAUCCAUACGCACCACAGGGUUGUAUAGAC
rnacentral:ribozyme from 1 species